rnacentral:misc_RNA from 1 species
UGGUUCUGGCAUCGAUGAAGAACGCAGCGAAAUGCGAUAAGUAAUGUGAAUUGCAGAAUUCAGUGAAUCAUCGAAUCUUUGAACGCACAUUGCGCCUUUUGGCAUUCCGAAAGGCAUGCCUGUUCGAGCGUCAUUACAACACUCAAACCCCGGUUUGACGUUGGGUCUACCGCUGGCACGGUAGGCCUGAAAAUCAGCGAUGGUGACCGAUGACCACGGCGCACGGAUGUCGCCAAGUGGGAGACGGUUGUCGUUCGGAAAUCUCAUGUCUUUGACGUUGACCUCGGAUCAGGUAGGGAUACCCGCUGA